rnacentral:rRNA from 1 species
UACGUAGGGUGCGAGCGUUAAUCGGAAUUACUGGGCGUAAAGCGUGCGCAGGCGGCGCGUUAAGACAGGUGUGAAAGCCCCGAGCUUAACUUGGGAAUUGCGCUUGUGACUGGCGUGCUGGAGUGUGGCAGAGGGAGGUGGAAUUCCACGUGUAGCAGUGAAAUGCGUAGAGAUGAUGGAGGAACACCGAUGGCGAAGGCAGCCUCCUGGGCCAGCACUGACGCUCAUGCACGAAAGCGUGGG